rnacentral:rRNA from 1 species
GAUGAACGCUGGCGGCGUGCCUAAUACAUGCAAGUCGAGCGAACGGACGAGAAGCUUGCUUCUCUGAUGUUAGCGGCGGACGGGUGAGUAACACGUGGAUAACCUACCUAUAAUACUGGGAUAACUUCGGGAAACCGUAGCUAAUACCGGAUAAUAUUUUGAACCGCAUGGUUCAAAAGUGAAAGACGUUCUUUCUGUCACUUAUAGAUGGAUCCGCUCUGCAUUAGGUAGUUGGUAGGGUAACGUCUUACCAAGGCAACGAUGCAUAUCCGACAUGAGAGGGGGAUAGGCAAAAGAGGAGCUGAGAAACGGUACAGAAACCUACGGGAGGCAGCAGAAGGGAAGCUUCAGAAAAGGGCGAAAGACUGAAGGAGAAAAGCAGGGGGAGUGAUGAAGGUCUACGGAUCGUAAAACUCUGUUAUUAGGGAAGAACAGAUGGGUAAGUAAAUGUGAACAAAGUGACGGUACAUAAUAAGAAAGAAACGGCUAACUACGU